rnacentral:lncRNA from 1 species
GUGCAAAUGUGCUUGCAGGCGAUCCAACACGUGCUAAAUAAACGGCUGCAAGCGGUCCUGCACACUUUAAAUUAACACCUACAGCUGCUAACUAUACACGCUAACUUUUGUCUUUGAAAAUUGUUGUUACUGAAUCAUAAAGCUUAUCAGCUAGUUUACAGUGGAAGGAUCUGUUUCUCAUCACUGGCUAUAAAAUUCAGAUAACAAUCUAGCACCAGGAUCAGCAGUGCUUAGCAUAAACUAAGUCAGAUACAGGCUAGCUAAUUUAGCUAACGUCGGUAGCCUCGAACCCCAGCCAUUAUUAGUUUGCCUCAAACUCUGACCGGCCAUACUGCUAGCCGCAGUGAACAACGCAGUCUUGUGUUUUAUUAAGAAAAAACAUGCUGAAAAAACAUGUCAACCAUAACAGCCACGGAAACACAUUAGACUAUGUUAAUACUAUCGAGGUAAAUUACAUACUAGCAAGGUUGUUGCUUGAAUGCAGGGCCAGGCAUACAUAGAUUAGACAAUGGAGAUACUCCAAAAACAUAAUGUUCAAAAUCCUGCUAGUUGUCGAUUUUUGGACUGUUUUGGACAAGCUACCUAAAUGUGACUAAUAGGCUAGUACUGAAGCAGGACAUGUUUUUUGUUGUUGUAUUUAAUUAAGCUAAACAACAGCUGAAGGUAGGCAACUUCUUCAGCCUAACUGGCUGUCAUUUCAAUGCUAGCGUUAGCCGUGCUACCUCUCGAUUAGCAUGAAGACACUGAAAAGCUCACAAAGCCAAUUUGGCCAGUGACAACCUUGUAAAACCUUUGCUAACAUCUACAACAUAUCAACUUUCGAACAGAAUAUACUUUAAUGUGCAUGUUCACUUCGUUUUCAGAAUAUUUACAUCCCAUUGAAGCCUAUUAGGGUAAAAUAACACCUUCCGGCAUAUACCCAGUACGAUAUAGUACUGCUUCAAAGGAAUAGGGUUCCUAUUCCUUCGGCUUUAUUUUCACACAAUUGUGUCUUGCAGAAGGGAACCAUAAAGAGGAGCUUGGAGUGGGCAAGGGGUGGCUGAUAAAGCAGCAGAGAAGACCUGAUUCAACAAGUAUCACGCUUAACUCUGGUGAUUCUCAUCUGGUUGGCAUGCACAACACUGCAAGGUAUGCAACAUUAAACCCAAUCAAAUAUCCAAUGUUAUUAAAACAUGUAUCCCAAUCUACUGUCAAGCAACGUUUAUCAGUUGUGCGUAAAUGUUAUGAACUACAAACACUCUAUGGUUCUUGGAGUCAAUGAAUCAAUUGAAAGUGACGACAAUUAAACAUUAUUUUAAAACCACUGUGCCAGUAAAGAUGACAAAAAAGGAAUCUGCUCUUAUGUUUCUGUUAGAAUUUUUCCAGACACUUCAAUCUGACACUCUUGUUAAUGUUUGACGUCAGGCAAAACGUCUUUACCUACCGUAGGAUGGAGAGCCGCUGGUUGGCAGUUUUGACUGCAGUGUCUGUGUGGGUGUACCAGGAAAGAACGUUAGAAGUAAGGUCCCCAUGAUACCGAAGCUUCUUACCAUCUCCACUGCAGCCCAGUCGAUAUCGAUUUUAAAAACUGGAACAAUAGAUAUCGUGUAGCACAUGGUAGCAAAAAUUCACUGAACCAACUUCAGUUUGCCUGUUGUCCGAACCCAUUUGUCAAUUAUGCAUUUUACAUAUGUCAGAGUGCGUUUCCUUUUAUAGCUCUGCUUUCAACACCAUCCUGACCCACAAACUGGUUAGCAGACUCAGGCCUCUGGGUGUAAACCCAGUAAUAACAAAUGAGAUUUUUUACAUUAUCAUAAGAAUGUGUAUCCCCAGAAUGUACCCGACCCAACCAUGGUACACAUGAGUACAUGAAGGAGCUGUGGGACCUGACAUAAGGGUGAUAGGACAACAGUCUCAGCGUAAGCAAAACGGUGAGACUUAAUGACCAUUCUCCCAUCUACUGUACAUUACCAUGGAGAUGAUCAGCAGCUUUAAGUUCCUGGGCACCCUGAUAUCCUUUUCUGCCCCCAGUCACUUCACUCAUAAAGUCCCACCAGUGCUUCUCCACUACCCUCAUCAACUUGCUGCACCACGACCAAUGUACCAACUACAGUGUCUGUUUCUAUGGCCAUAACACAUUUAAAUGAAAUGUCCAUAUUUACUGUAAGAUUUAUUUAUGGUAACAUUGCACAUAUUGUAACAUUAUAGUCCCUUGACAUACACUAGGGGUGACAGGUAGCCUAGUGGUUAGAGCAUUGGACUAGUGACCAGAAGGUUGUAAGAUCGAAUCCCCGAGCUGACAAGGUAAAAAUCUGUCGUUCUGCCCCUGAACAAGGCAGUUAACCCACUGUUCCUAGGCCAUCAUUGAAAAUAAGAAUUUGUUCUUAACUGACUUGCCUAGUUAACUAAAGGUAAUAAAAAUACACUACUUUGCAUAAUGCUCAGUUUACCCACUAAGAAAUCAUACAUUUAUUAAAGCUGCAUUUUGUAUUACUGUGUCCAACUUUUUUUGCUGAUGGCCGAUCCUGUUGGAAACUUUCAUAAUAUCAACCGUUUUGGGACACAUCACCAAUUAACAUUGGCUGCAGUAUUCUGAACUUUACUACGUAGUCAUGCAAUAAACAUUUUGGAUAAUUCCCUUAAAUGAAUUCCCUUUAAAUCAAAUACAAUUUUAUUUGUCAUAUGCUCCGAAUACAACCGGUGUAGACAUUACGGUGAAAUGCUUACUUCCAAGCCCUUAACCAACAAUGCACUUAAGAAAAAUACAUACAAAAAAAUAAAUGUUGGUGAUUGUAAAAUUCACUCUCCAUUUUCUCCCUGAAGGCUGCGUAGGGUUGGAUGUGUUGGCAGCCUUAAAACAAUGCUGCAUGUAUUUGCUUCCGGAACAUCCUGGCAGCCUCAUUCUCUUGUUUGUGUAAGAAUUGUAGCUGUGGCUCCACUGGGAAUCCCAGCCUAGGAAUGGCCGAAGCCCCGGAAGUGAAAAUGAGAAUCUUCUCCAGGGUUAAAGGGUGGGGAGAGCAUUGCUGUGAAGAGAGAAGAUUUGUCUUUGGCCAAAAGAGGUUUCUCAGCGUAGAUGAAAACCUCUGAAGAGGCUUGAGUGUCUAUUCAUGGAUGACUUACUCAUUGUCAUUACCAACAUCAACAGACGAGAGUGGACUCCAUGGAGGGGAGGCCACAUAUUGUGGUGAAGGUGGACGAUAAGCCUCAGGGAAUGGUGGAGGGAAGGCCGCAGGAAGUGGUAUAGGUGGAGGGAAGGCCACAGGAAGUUGCACUGGUGGAG